CGAAAUGCUUGCUAUGUACCGUUUUAAGUUAAGCUUCUCUAGCAUGUAACUUUUAUCGUUGACUUGCUUCCGUUUUUCAAGAGAUCUGUGUUAGCGUCCCAUAAAUAUAUCAUAUCAUGCUUUAGCAUUAAAUAAUAAGAUCUUGUUGCAAAAAUUGUGUUUAGCUCAUGUCGGCUAAUGUGGUAUUUCAAACAUUAAUUCCAUGAGGAUGUGAUCUUCUCGUGUGUGUGACGGGCCCGUGCUUAACAAAAUGAAGAUCUUCUUUAGCUUAACUAAAUUAUAUAGUUGGAAUUUCAGUUCAUUCUUGUUGGUUUAGUUAGCUUUUGCUUUAUCCAAAAAUGUGAAUUAAUCCAAUGUAGCUUUACUUGAAUUUUUCUUCUUUCCCUGAUGGUGCUUGAUAAUUAAUCGGUCAUUUUAUGUAUGGGAUGAUCCAUUAGGACUUGUUUCGUUUUGUUCAUUCUAACUUAGCAUUAUGUUAGUUAUUUCAUAAGAUUAUGUCAUUGCUUCUCUCAUGUUGUUAGAAUAGUUAUCCAAACCAAAUUGGUAUGUUCGAUACCAAUAGCUUAAAAUUAUGGAACUUGGUUUUCCUUUGUCUUCUUGCACUAUUGAUUUCUGGAAAAGGUAUGAAUGUUACUUUGACUUUUUCCCCUUCAUUGCUCAUUGCCCUCCACGU
rnacentral:lncRNA from 1 species